UUGACUCAAGGAGCUGUAAGAUACUUUAUCUAUUUUAAUGGUCAUCUUUCCUUUCUUUUGUAGUUCAACUACUGUGCAUUUGUGAAAUGCCAUUGCCUGGAUGGUGCAGCAGUACCCACCUGAGUUCAGGAAGAUGAUGUUUCUGUGGUAUGAGGAAGGCUUCAGAGUGGUCAUCCUCACUUCCAACAUGAUCAGGGCAGACUGGUACCAGAAAACACAGAGGUUAUGGGUGAGUCCUCUGUAUCCACGGUUACCCAAGGGGAGUCCAGAGACUGUAGGGGAGUCUCCCACCCUCUUCAAGCGGAACCAAAUGAUCGGCGAACACGAACUGUCUGAGACCAAGUGAGACGAUGUUAAUCCAUGAUCAUGUUCAAUUGGCACCAAACAGCAGAAAACAUUUGAAACAGAUGAGGUGAGACUCCAGGGAGGUACCUGGGCUCAGACAUGGGGAGGUGGGGUCGCCUGAGGUUGAGAAAAGUAAGAAUUAAUCUCUUGCUUCCAUCUAGGAGCUCCAGUAAAUGUUGAUGGACAGCUCCAACGCUCCACUGUCCUCCAUGUUUAAUGAGCCACACACUGCCGGACUCUGUCUCAUCUACUUGAUUGCUUCUCGAUUACUCAGGACCACACACUGCUCAUCCCCAACGAUGAAAAGUGGCCCGUCAUUGGUCAGUAUUCUAGCAUCGGCUCCAUGGGAUUGGACAAGCCCUGGCGGGGGAGUUACAGCGCACUCUGACAACCCUGGGUAAAUCAUUUCUUUGCCCAGAUCCCCCUACCCCAUGCUUUUGGUGCAUACUAUAAAACACCCAUACUGUUCUGGUCCCCCUCUGUGUACACUUAGUUGGUACGUUCCAAAAACCCACCACUUUAGAGGAUGGCAGUACAGCGCUUUAAAACCACACAUGCAAAUGUUAAAAUCUCAGUGCAGUCGAAAAACGUGAUUUUCCUGUGUUUUGUAUAUGUUUUCACACUAUGAAGUUGGAAUAAUACUGUGAAAUUGUGAAAAUGAUGAAAAUGCUCUUUUAGUGUAAGAGCUGUUUGAAAAGAUGCCUGAAAUAUCAGCCUGUUUUGGUAGGAUGGAGUUUUGGCCUGCAGGCUGUAAAUUAGUCAAUAGACAGGACUCCUUGAAAGAGUCCAGUACAUUCCUCCUCCAGUACAUUCCUCCCCUGAAGCUGUAGGCUCUUCUGGUCUCAAUUACUGAUUCUCUCUCUUUUUUGCUCUCUCUCUUUUUUGCUCUCUCUCUUUCUCUCUCUC